UACGAAGGGGGCUAGCGUUGUUCGGAAUCACUGGGCGUAAAGGGCGCGUAGGCGGCUUUAUAAGUCGGGGGUGAAAGCCUGUGGCUCAACCACAGAAUUGCCUUCGAUACUGUAGAGCUUGAGACCGGAAGAGGUAAGUGGAACUGCGAGUGUAGAGGUGAAAUUCGUAGAUAUUCGCAAGAACACCAGUGGCGAAGGCGGCUUACUGGUCCGGUUCUGACGCUGAGGCGCGAGAGCGUGGGGAGCAAACGGG
rnacentral:rRNA from 1 species